rnacentral:rRNA from 1 species
CCUACGGGAGGCAGCAGUGAGGAAUAUUGGUCAAUGGCCGAGAGGCUGAACCAGCCAAGUCGCGUGAGGGAAGACUGCCCUACGGGUUGUAAACCUCUUUUGUCUGGGAGCAAAGCGAGUCACGUGUGACUCAUUGAGAGUACCCGAAGAAAAAGCAUCGGCUAACUCCGUGCCAGCAGCCGCGGUAAUACGGAGGAUGCGAGCGUUAUCCGGUUUUAUUGGGUUUAAGGGGUGCGCAGGCGGAGUUGCAAGUCAGCGGUAAAAUUGCGGGGCUCAACCCCGUACUGCAGUUGAAACUGCAUGCCUUGAGUGCGCGAGAGGUAUGCGGAAUGCGUGGUGUAGCGGUGAAAUGCAUAGAUAUCACGCAGAACUCCGAUUGCGAAGGCAGCAUACCGGCGCGCAACUGACGCUCAUGCACGAAAGCGUGGGUAUCGAACAGGAUUAGAUACCCCUGUAGUC